rnacentral:rRNA from 1 species
GACGAACGCUGGCGGCGUGCUUAACACAUGCAAGUCGAACGGAAAGGCCCUGCUUUUGUGGGGUGCUCGAGUGGCGAACGGGUGAGUAACACGUGAGUAACCUGCCCUUGACUUUGGUAUAACUUCAGGAAACUGGGGCUAAUACCGGAUAGGAGCUCCUGCUGCAUGUUGGGGGUUGGAAAGUUUCGGCGGUUGGGGAUGGACUCGCGGCUUAUCAGCUUGUUGGUGGGGUAGUGGCUUACCAAGGCUUUGACGGGUAGCCGGCCUGAGAGGGUGACCGGCAACAUUGGGACUGAGAUACGGCCCAGACUCCUACGGGAGGCAGAAGUGGGGAAUAUUGCAAAAUGGGCGGAAGCCUGAUGCAGCAACGCCGCGUGCGGGAUGACGGCCUUCGGGUUGUAAACCGCUUUCGCCUGUGACGAAGCGUGAGUGACGGUAAUGGGUAAAGAAGCACCGGCUAACUACGUG